rnacentral:rRNA from 1 species
CAGCAGCCACGGUAAUACAGAGGGUGCGAGCGUUAAUCGGAAUUACUGGGCGUAAAGGGCGCGUAGGCGGUUAGGAAGGUGUGAUGUGAAAGCCCUGGGCUUAACCUAGGAAGUGCAUCGCAAACCAACUAGCUGGAGUAUAAGAGAGGGUGGCGGAAUUUCUGGUGUAGCGGUGAAAUGCGUAGAGAUCGGAAGGAACGUCAAUGGCGAAGGCAGCCACCUGGCUUAAUACUGACGCUGAGGCGCGAAAGCGUGGGGAGCGAACAGGAUUAGAUACCCCCGUAGUCCCUGUCUCUUAUAA